AUGAAUAAAGACAUCAGUUUGAAAUAUAAUUUCUUUCAUAUUUUCACCUUUGGGUACAAAGUUAAGAGCAAUUCAACUUGCCUUACUCAAAUCCGUUUUCCCGUCAGCUUUUGCGCCAAACUUGGCAACAACAUCAAUAGCGCCUGAUUGAACUUUAGAGGCUGAAAUGAAUAAUAAUAAAAGCACAAACAUGGAAGGAACAAUAUUAAGGUGUGGUGCCAUGUUUUUAUUUGGUUUUGAAAUUACACGAAGAAUGGCUUUUCCUUUUGUUUUUUUCCAAAUAUAUAGAAAUUUUGAGAAAAUUACAACCAAUCAAAUAUAUUACUAUUUAAUCAAUGUGGAAAAGUCAUAUGGCCAAGCUUCAAUAUCUAUGAUUAGCUUGUUUCUUUAAUAUCAACUUCGCACGGUUAGAUAGUUUUGUGGUUAAUUUUUUCACAACUUUAAUAAUUUAAACUAUGUGAAAGGAUUUUAUUAUGGAAAGAUUGAAAAGCAUUAUUUUACAUUUUAUCUUCAAAAUAAUAUCUUUACUAGAUGGUGGCGAAUAUAAUUAUGUUCCGUUAAAUUUAUCAAUGUUAUUUCGAAAAGUAUAAUCCUAAUUAUUCAAUAAAAAUUGUUGAUACAGUAAUGUGGUUUGGUGGUUGACGAAGGUUCACACCAUAUUGCCGAAAGCAAUUCUGGUGGUUUCUAGCACUCUUCUCAAUCACUGUUUUCCUGGCCCUAUAAUACCUAGUCGAGCUAACGUUCGCCCUGGACUUCAGCCUAAACUUCACCCACGUAACAAUUAUUAGUGAAAACCUGAUGGGCAUUUGACUUCUCUUUCCAAAUAGAUUUACUUUUAUCUUUUAAUUUCCUCAACUUCUCUCAAGCAUCUUGUAAUUUCUUAUCUUCAUCCCCAUCUAACACGUAUCGAAUUUCACAAGGUAUGACUUUUCACCACCAACACCAACCCUUUCAUUAUCACCCUUGUAUGAAUCCUCACGUUCACCUUUACCCUCAUCCCCACCCCUCAUUCUAGAAGAUACAAACUGACCAUGAGAUAAAAUGGAUCGAAUUAGUGGGAAAAUAUUGAACCUAAAUAGAUGAUCGGCAUUCUAUGAUAGUAACCUGCAUUUGACAAGGUAAAUGGACAAAGCUUUACAAGCUUAGCUUUCGUAACAUUAUAUAUUGGGGAGAUCGAUCAUGGUACUUUUAGUAGAUUGAGUCUACAACUAAAUAAAUUCUAAUUAAGAUUUUAUUUAAGCCCUAAUUAUUUAUGUACGAUCGAUCCCUCUGCUAGCUUAAUAUAACUCUAAGUAGAUUGCAUAAUAAGAACUGAUUGAAUGUAUGGAUGCAAAUGAUAUAUUAGAAUUAGAUGGAAUGAAUUACUAUUCCAUGUAAAUGCGAUUUCAUGAGAAUGGAAAAGAUGACCCGGAAUUAAUUUAAUUCCGUCGGUUUGUUAUUUAAUUCAAUGAAUAAAUUAAAUAAAUAAGUCCAAAGUGAGGAUUAAAUUAAGUAGUUAACGUAGUUAUAUUUUGUUCAGAUAAUUAAAUUAAUUUGCAUGUAAAUUCUAGUCUGGAAAAGCUUUCAUGAUUCUAACAAAAAUUGAAUGGGGUUUUGUAAAUUAAGUAGUGGAAAUAAUUAAAUUUAAUGAAAUAUUUAAUUUCAAAAAACUUAAUUCAUGGAAGAAUAUAUGCUAUUGGGUUAGAUAAUCAUAUGGUCUUGAUUUCUUAUUUAAGUCAAGAGAGGUAGGCUCGUAUAAUUAAACUGGAGAACAAACCACUAAGGUAAGUGUGCCUCCGCACACAAAGAGAGUUAUCUCUUGGAGUCGCUGGCCAUGGGGUUAAAAAUGUCCUAGUUGGACUUUAGUUCUUCUAUAUUAUUUAUUUUACGUACAUCGGAUACAAAUAUAACUCUUGCAUAUGUUUCUUUAUCAAUACCCAAUUUAUGUAAAAAAAAACCAAGGACAAUAUAUACUAAGAGAAAACUUUGUAGAAAUUUAUUGAAAUAUUAGUUAGAUUCUAUUUUCUUUCAACUCAAAUCAAUUCUAUCGUUUUAGACUUUGUAAUUUAGAUUUUUAAGAUUAUAAUGACAUUCUUCUAAAGAGAAUAAUUGAAUUAUAGGAGUUGUUUUCGAUUGGGUGGAACACAAAGAGGUAGUUGACAUACCUCCUUGAUUAGUCUCGGUUUACGUCUUCUUUUCAGUUUUGGAUAGGACGCAAAGAGCUAGAUGCAUAGUUGCUUGAGAAGUCUCGAUUCACGUCUUGUGCUUUACUUUUUCAGUUACAUCCCACUUUCCAAGCACCUGAGUGUUCAAGAAUAGGGAAGAAAAUCGUUCAGUAGAAAGGUUGAAGACAUUGGACUACUAUUCGAAUUGAUCAAGACAAUGAAGGCAUCUCCCAAACUUUCCUUGCGACUUGGACAUCCCCUAAGCCUUGGACCACAACGAUUUAAUUUGAUCAAAUUUAUUACUUUAGAUGUCACGAUAAAUGCCCAUUUUACUAUAGAAAUUAAAACUCUAAUGUUCCUACCCUAGCUACUUUUCUAAAUGCAUUUCCAACAUGAACCCCGAAUCAGAAAAGAAACCAUGAAAAAAAAAGAGUUUCAAGCCAAACACACAAAAAUAAGAAAAAGAGACUAACCUUUGAGAAUCUAAAGGCAAAAACUACACAUCACAUCAACAAAUUUAGGGAUCUUUAAGUGAUAAUCGCAAGAUACCCAAACACUACACUUAAUCUCGAUGUAAAUAUCUCACCUUUCUAAAAAUCUUUAUACAGUUCCACAAAAUGUUCUCUCAUUCUCCUUUUUGGGGUUCAAUUUGUUUAUAUGAAAUAAUUAAACAUAAAAUGGCGUCACAUCAUUAUCGAAUAAUGUGGUUAAUGAGUCCCCAAUAGAUUCGAACAUUCGAGAAGAAAGACGCUGUGCAAGUUUGGAGAAGAAGCUUGGUAGAUUAGAAAAGCGCUAGUUUUGGCCGUGGACUAUAAAGACCUAGUAAUUAUUACUGACCUAUUCAAUUCAGAAAUUAGAGAUCAUUCUUGAUUGUGUUGGAAACAUUCGUUUAGAAAAUGAUUGUUUGGAACAACAAAAAAAAUUAAAAAUUUCUCAACCCAAGCAGUUGUCAUAUUUAUAGGGACAAACCCUUUUACCAAAAUCAUACUUGUGCUCUGGAUUAGGCGGUCUAAGUUGUUUCUCAAUAUUCUACCAACACGAUCUUCUCAACUAUUCAAAAACCUCGGCUAGUUGCUCUAAUCCAUGAAAGGAAGAAAGCUAUGAAAACUUUCUAUUGAUGUUGGAGUGGCGAAUAUUGAUGUCCCUUUAUGGGCCAAAAACUUAAAAAGUAAACAUUCAUAUUUUUAAUUUUUUUUGAAUUAAAUCUCAAUAAAGUUUUACGAUGUCGAUGCUUCACAUCGUGUGUGGUUGACCUAGCCUAUGCUCUCUAUUUAUAGAAAAAUCGCAAGAGUCUUGGUCGAACAAGAAGAAGAAAAUAUAUAAUAACAUUUUAAAAGAGAAUACACAUAAUUCUCUAGUAGGAAUAUGUAUGGGCUUCAACACCCUCUCUUUAGAGAUAGGGUUGUCGCCCAUCUUACGUGAGAUGGGGUCAUCGGGUCUAUCUCAUGUAUUUGGUGUAAUUAUAUGUGUCAUUUAGUAAUUUAAUCGACGCAUAUAAUUUAACCAACCAAAUAAAAAAUUUUCUAUUUCCCAAAAUAUUAAUAAUUUAAUUAAUUAAUUGAAAUAAAUUUUACUAAUUCCAACAAUUAAAUUUUUUUCCAAACCUAGUUCUAAUUCCGUUAAAUUCAUGACAUAUUUACCACACUAGAAUCUAUGAGUAAAUGAAUCUAAUUAUUUUGUUCAACCAGAUUGCGUUAAUUAAUUAAUUUAAUUUUUACUUCAAACACCGGUUCAGUGAUUACUAUUAAUUAAAUAAUAAUUCGAAUAAAUUAAUUUAGUCUUCAAGUCAUCUCUCUUUUAUAACGAGAAAUUCCAUUCACUACGGAUAGUGAUACAUUCGAUCCUUUUCUGUAAUUCAUCAAUUUUAUUUAUUCACCUCAUCAAUUCAAAUGCAAACCAUCAAGGUUGUAUAGAGCUAAUAGAGGGGCCCACUGGAUAUAUAAUUAGAGCUCAAAUAGUUUGUACUUAAGUGCCAUGACCGACCUCUUCUUAUUAUAACUCAUUAUGAAAACAACUCACCAAGUGCUCGUCCAAUGAAUUUUUCGUAUGUGCUAUAGCCUCAUAGGAUAUCCCCAAUCCCUUUCAUUUAUAUCCGUUCACCCAAAAUGAUAUUAUCAUAUCUCAUGGUAACCAUCACAUCUUCUUUCAUGAAGAAUGUUACGUCAACAGAAAAAGAAACAAACCAAUGAACAAAUAUAAUCAUAUGUCUAAGCACACAAAUAAUACAGGAAUAUGUUGUUCAAAAAAUUUGGACGACGAACUUUCAUUUUAAUUAAAAUCUCAAAUUUAAUAUUUUAUUUUCCUUAAAACUGCUAUGUUGGAAGACGGUUUUUAUAAAAAAUUACACGUAGAUAAAGAAAAUUUCAAUCAUUAAUUCUAAUUCAAUAUAGAAACUCAGUGAUGGUUUUGUUAUUAGGUUAAAUUAACUAAAUUUUAUCACACUUCGGCUCUUUGUAUUGAUGUGUGUAUUAAAAGCAUUGAAUUCAUAGCAAAAGUUUAAUAAUGGAAAAGAAUUAAAAUGAAAAAGAACUGUUUUUAUGUAAUAUGAAUAAAUAUAUUAAUUACAAUUGCAUUGAAUCUGUUGGUAUGGUUUAAGCGGUGGCACUUAGGGUUUUUGGGACAGGGCUGGAACAUGGAGUCGGGUUUAAUUUGCCACUAGUUUUAGGCUUGACAUUCAAACAUUGGGAUGUUGCGGGUUCAGGUCCGGUGUGCUUAAUAUCAAUGUCUGCAAGUUCCACAUUUUGACAUGGCGAAGAACCGCUGCAAAUAAACUUGACAGCUUCUGGAAGCGCAGAUGUGCCACGGAUGUUCUUGAAGCUAAUGUUGCUUAGUUUAACUUUCGAUUCUUCCUGCAUCAACACAACAACGAUUCAAUGAUGAAUUAAAUAUUGUCACUCUAUUAGGAUUUUGAUAAGAAUGUACAUACAUUUAUCUUGCAUUUACUCCAUGGGCAAUAUUUUUGAUCAAUUAGGAUAGGGGAAGAGACAUUGUUCACGAUAAUAUCCUCAAAAUGUACAUCUGAUACUAUCCCAGGAGAUUCGCCUGGCCAAGUUUUGAUUCGAGCUCCAUUCGAAGUAUUAGUGAUGGUGCAGUUUGUGACUUUAACUCCCUCAACUGGCUCUUCAUUUGGGUACUUUCCAAGACUACCGAUACUUAUACCAUGUCCUGGUCCACAAGUUAUAUCUUUUAUGUCCAAAUUUUUAGUGCCAUCUCCGAUAGAAAUACAAUCAUCACCAGUUUUAAUCUCACAUCCAAUAAUAUUUACGCCGUCUGAUUUGCCCAUGUGAAUCCCAUCUGUGUUUGGGCUAUCUGCCGGUGCCUCUACCGUGAAACGUUCGAGGGUAAUGUUUUUGCAUGCAAAAACAUUAACGUGGAAUAGUUUACUGUCUUUGCUAGUUAUAUCUUGUAUCAAUGCGUUGGUCAGAAAGUCAAACCUUAUAUUCUGUUUAAUUUUGGAGUUAACAAAGUAACACACGAAACAAAGAUGUUAGUUAUAAUUAUAUUUUGAUAAUAAUAAGAGGAAAGAGAAUAAAUAAAUUUUGGCAAGAGGGAAGAAAGCUGACAACGGGGAGUUUGACACGAAAUGCACGAUUGUGGGGAUCUUUAUUCUUCUCAUAAGCAAUGCUUCCCUGACCAUCGAAAAUUCCUCCGCCGGACAUUUUGAAAUUUUCAAUACUAUAGAAUCUAACCCAAUUAGGGUCCUUGAAAGCACCAGGAUCAGCCGGAGCCUUUAUAGUGCCCUGAACAUUAAUCUCAAUAGGAGCCUUGCAUGGACCUUCUAAGUUUACUUUUGAUAAUAAAUAUGUCCCUUUAGGAAUCACAACUGUUGAUGGGGUUACAGAGGCACAUGCUUCUUUCCAAGCAUCCAAAAAUGGCUAAAAUGAAAUGAAUAAAGACAUCAGUUUGAAAUAUAAUUUCUUUCAUAUUUUCACCUUUGGGUACAAAGUUAAGAGCAAUUCAACUUGCCUUACUCAAAUCCGUUUUCCCGUCAGCUUUUGCGCCAAACUUGGCAACAACAUCAAUAGCGCCUGAUUGAACUUUAGAGGCUGAAAUGAAUAAUAAUAAAAGCACAAACAUGGAAGGAACAAUAUUAAGGUGUGGUGCCAUGUUUUUAUUUGGUUUUGAAAUUACACGAAGAAUGGCUUUUCCUUUUGUUUUUUUCCAAAUAUAUAGAAAUUUUGAGAAAAUUACAACCAAUCAAAUAUAUUACUAUUUAAUCAAUGUGGAAAAGUCAUAUGGCCAAGCUUCAAUAUCUAUGAUUAGCUUGUUUCUUUAAUAUCAACUUCGCACGGUUAGAUAGUUUUGUGGUUAAUUUUUUCACAACUUUAAUAAUUUAAACUAUGUGAAAGGAUUUUAUUAUGGAAAGAUUGAAAAGCAUUAUUUUACAUUUUAUCUUCAAAAUAAUAUCUUUACUAGAUGGUGGCGAAUAUAAUUAUGUUCCGUUAAAUUUAUCAAUGUUAUUUCGAAAAGUAUAAUCCUAAUUAUUCAAUAAAAAUUGUUGAUACAGUAAUGUGGUUUGGUGGUUGACGAAGGUUCACACCAUAUUGCCGAAAGCAAUUCUGGUGGUUUCUAGCACUCUUCUCAAUCACUGUUUUCCUGGCCCUAUAAUACCUAGUCGAGCUAACGUUCGCCCUGGACUUCAGCCUAAACUUCACCCACGUAACAAUUAUUAGUGAAAACCUGAUGGGCAUUUGACUUCUCUUUCCAAAUAGAUUUACUUUUAUCUUUUAAUUUCCUCAACUUCUCUCAAGCAUCUUGUAAUUUCUUAUCUUCAUCCCCAUCUAACACGUAUCGAAUUUCACAAGGUAUGACUUUUCACCACCAACACCAACCCUUUCAUUAUCACCCUUGUAUGAAUCCUCACGUUCACCUUUACCCUCAUCCCCACCCCUCAUUCUAGAAGAUACAAACUGACCAUGAGAUAAAAUGGAUCGAAUUAGUGGGAAAAUAUUGAACCUAAAUAGAUGAUCGGCAUUCUAUGAUAGUAACCUGCAUUUGACAAGGUAAAUGGACAAAGCUUUACAAGCUUAGCUUUCGUAACAUUAUAUAUUGGGGAGAUCGAUCAUGGUACUUUUAGUAGAUUGAGUCUACAACUAAAUAAAUUCUAAUUAAGAUUUUAUUUAAGCCCUAAUUAUUUAUGUACGAUCGAUCCCUCUGCUAGCUUAAUAUAACUCUAAGUAGAUUGCAUAAUAAGAACUGAUUGAAUGUAUGGAUGCAAAUGAUAUAUUAGAAUUAGAUGGAUGAAUUACUAUUCCAUGUAAAUGCGAUUUCAUGAGAAUGGAAAAGAUGACCCGGAAUUAAUUUAAUUCCGUCGGUUUGUUAUUUAAUUCAAUGAAUAAAUUAAAUAAAUAAGUCCAAAGUGAGGAUUAAAUUAAGUAGUUAACGUAGUUAUAUUUUGUUCAGAUAAUUAAAUUAAUUUGCAUGUAAAUUCUAGUCUGGAAAAGCCUUCAUGAUUCUAACAAAAAUUGAAUGGGGUGUUUUGUAAAUUAAGUAGUGGAAAUAAUUAAAUUUAAUGAAAUAUUUAAUUUCAAAAAACUUAAUUCAUGGAAGAAUAUAUGCUAUUGGGUUAGAUAAUCAUAUGGUCUUGAUUUCUUAUUUAAGUCAAGAGAGGUAGGCUCGUAUAAUUAAACUGGAGAACAAACCACUAAGGUAAGUGUGCCUCCGCACACAAAGAGAAGUUAUCUCUUGGAGUCGCUGGCCAUGGGGUUAAAAAUGUCCUAGUUGGACUUUAGUUCUUCUAUAUUAUUUAUUUUACGUACAUCGGAUACAAAUAUAACUCUUGCAUAUGUUUCUUUAUCAAUACCCAAUUUAUGUAAAAAAAAACCAAGGACAAUAUAUACUAAGAGAAAACUUUGUAGAAAUUUAUUGAAAUAUUAGUUAGAUUCUAUUUUCUUUCAACUCAAAUCAAUUCUAUCGUUUUAGACUUUGUAAUUUAGAUUUUUAAGAUUAUAAUGACAUUCUUCUAAAGAGAAUAAUUGAAUUAUAGGAGUUGUUUUCGAUUGGGUGGAACACAAAGAGGUAGUUGACAUACCUCCUUGAUUAGUCUCGGUUUACGUCUUCUUUUCAGUUUUGGAUAGGACGCAAAGAGCUAGAUGCAUAGUUGCUUGAGAAGUCUCGAUUCACGUCUUGUGCUUUACUUUUUCAGUUACAUCCCACUUUCCAAGCACCUGAGUGUUCAAGAAUAGGGAAGAAAAUCGUUCAGUAGAAAGGUUGAAGACAUUGGACUACUAUUCGAAUUGAUCAAGACAAUGAAGGCAUCUCCCAAACUUUCCUUGCGACUUGGACAUCCCCUAAGCCUUGGACCACAACGAUUAAUUUGAUCAAAUUUAUUACUUUAGAUGUCACGAUAAUGCCCAUUUUACUAUAGAAAUUAAAACUCUAAUGUUCCUACCCUAGCUACUUUUCUAAAUGCAUUUCCAACAUGAACCCCGAAUCAGAAAGAAACCAUGAAAAAAAAGAGUUUCAAGCCAAACACACAAAAAUAAGAAAAAGAGACUAACCUUUGAGAAUCUAAAGGCAAAAACUACACAUCACAUCAACAAAUUUAGGGAUCUUUAAGUGAUAAUCGCAAGAUACCCAAACACUACACUUAAUCUCGAUGUAAAUAUCUCACCUUUCUAAAAAUCUUUAUACAGUUCCACAAAAUGUUCUCUCAUUCUCCUUUUUGGGGUUCAAUUUGUUUAUAUGAAAUAAUUAAACAUAAAAUGGCGUCACAUCAUUAUCGAAUAAUGUGGUUAAUGAGUCCCCAAUAGAUUCGAACAUUCGAGAAGAAAGACGCUGUGCAAGUUUGGAGAAGAAGCUUGGUAGAUUAGAAAAGCGCUAGUUUUGGCCGUGGACUAUAAAGACCUAGUAAUUAUUACUGACCUAUUCAAUUCAGAAAUUAGAGAUCAUUCUUGAUUGUGUUGGAAACAUUCGUUUAGAAAAUGAUUGUUUGGAACAACAAAAAAAAUUAAAAAUUUUACAACCCAAGCAGUUGUCAUAUUUAUAGGGACAAACCCUUUUACCAAAAUCAUACUUGUGCUCUGGAUUAGGCGGUCUAAGUUGUUUCUCAAUAUUCUACCAACACGAUCUUCUCAACUAUUCAAAACCUCGGCUAGUUGCUCUAAUCCAUGAAAGGAAGAAAGCUAUGAAAACUUUCUAUUGAUGUUGGAGUGGCGAAUAUUGAUGUCCCUUUAUGGGCCAAAACUUAAAAAGUAAACAUUCAUAUUUUUAAUUUUUUUUGAAUUAAAUCUCAAUAAAGUUUUACGAUGUCGAUGCUUCACAUCGUGUGUGGUUGACCUAGCCUAUGCUCUCUAUUUAUAGAAAAAUCGCAAGAGUUCUUGGUCGAACAAGAAGAAGAAAAUAUAUAAUAACAUUUUAAAAGAGAAUACACAUAAUUCUCUAGUAGGAAUAUGUAUGGGCUUCAACACCCUCUCUUAGAGAUAGGGUUGUCGCCCAUCUUACGUGGAUGGGGUCAUCGGGUCUAUCUCAUGUAUUUGGUGUUAAUUAUAUGUGUCAUUUAGUAAUUUAAUCGACGCAUAUAAUUUAACCAACCAAAUAAAAAAUUUUCUAUUUCCCAAAAUAUUAAUAAUUUAUUAAUUAAUUGAAAUAAAUUUUACUAAUUCCAACAAUUAAAUUUUUUUCCAACCUAGUUCUAAUUCCGUUAAAUUCAUGACAUAUUUACCACACUAGAAUCUAUGAGUAAAUGAUCUAAUUAUUUUGUUCACCAAGAUUGCGUUAAUUAAUUAAUUUAAUUUUUACUUCAAACACCGGUUCAGUGAUUACUAUUAAUUAAAAUAAUAAUUCGAAUAAAUUAAUUUAGUCUUCAAGUCAUCUCUCUUUUAUAACGAGAAAUUCCAUUCACUACGGAUAGUGAUACAUUCGAUCCUUUUCUGUAAUUCAUCAAUUUUAUUUAUUCACUCAUCAAUUCAAAUGCAAACCAUCAAGGUUGUAUAGAGCUAAUAGAGGGGCCCACUGGAUAUAUAAUUAGAGCUCAAAUGUUUGUACUUAAGUGCCAUGACCGACCUCUUCUUAUUAUAACUCAUUAUGAAACAACUCACCAAGUGCUCGUCCAAUGAAUUUUUCGUAUGUGCUAUAGCCUCAUAGGAUAUCCCCAAUCCCUUUCAUUUAUAUCCGUUCACCCAAAAUGAUAUUAUCAUAUCUCAUGGUAACCAUCACAUCUUCUUUCAUGAAGAUGUUACGUCAACAGAAAAAGAAACAAACCAAUGAACAAAUAUAAUCAUAUGUCUAAGCAACACAAAUAAUACAGGAAUAUGUUGUUCACAAAAUUUGGACGACGAACUUUCAUUUUAAUUAAAAUCUCAAAUUUAAUAUUUUAUUUUUCCUUAAAACUGCUAUGUUGGAAGACGGUUUUUAUAAAAAAUUACACGUAGAUAAAGAAAAUUUCAAUCAUUAAUUCUAAUUCAAUAUAGAAACUCAGUGAUGGUUUUGUUAUUAGGUUAAAUUAACUAAAUUUUAUCACACUUCGGCUCUUUGUAUUGAUGUGUGUAUUAAAAGCAUUGAAUUCAUAGCAAAAGUUUAAUAAUGGAAAAGAAUUAAAAUGAAAAAGAACUGUUUUUAUGUAAUAUGAAUAAAUAUAUUAAUUACAAUUGCAUUGAAUCUGUUGGUAUGGUUUAAGCGGUGGCACUUAGGGUUUUUGGGACAGGGCUGGAACAUGGAGUCGGGUUUAAUUUGCCACUAGUUUUAGGCUUGACAUUCAAACAUUGGGAUGUUGCGGGUUCAGGUCCGGUGUGCUUAAUAUCAAUGUCUGCAAGUUCCACAUUUUGACAUGGCGAAGAAACCGCUGCAAAUAAACUGACAGCUUCUGGAAGCGCAGAUGUGCCACGGAUGUUCUUGAAGCUAAUGUUGCUUAGUUUAACUUUCGAUUCUUCCUGCAUCAACACAACAACGAUUCAAUGAUGAAUUAAAUCAUGUCACUCUAUUAGGAUUUUGAUAAGAAUGUACAUACAUUUAUCUUGCAUUUACUCCAUGGGCAAUAUUUUUGAUCAAUUAGGAUAGGGGAAGAGACAUUGUUUCACGAUAAUAUCCUCAAAAUGUACAUCUGAUACUAUCCCAGGAGAUUCGCCUGGCCAAGUUUUGAUUCGAGCUCCAUUCGAAGUAUUAGUGAUGGUGCAGUUUGUGACUUUAACUCCCUCAACUGGCUCUUCAUUUGGGUACUUUCAAGACUACCGAUACUUAUACCAUGUCCUGGUCCACAAGUUAUAUCUUUUAUGUCCAAAUUUUUAGUGCCAUCUCCGAUAGAAAUACAAUCAUCACCAGUUUUAAUCUCACAUCCAAUAAUAUUUACGCCGUCUGAUUUGCCCAUGUGAAUCCCAUCUGUGUUUGGGCUAUCUGCCGGUGCCUCUACCGUGAAACGUUCGAGGGUAAUGUUUUUGCAUGCAAAAACAUUAACGUGGAAUAGUUUACUGUCUUUGCUAGUUAUAUCUUGUAUCAAUGCGUGGUCAGAAAGUCAAACCUUAUAUUCUGUUUAAUUUUGGAGUUAACAAAGUAACACACGAAACAAAGAUGUUAGUUAUAAUUAUAUUUUGAUAAUAAUAAGAGGAAAGAGAAUAAAUAAAUUUUGGCAAGAGGGAAGAAAGCUGACAACGGGGAGUUUGACACGAAAUGCACGAUUGUGGGGAUCUUUAUUCUUCUCAUAAGCAAUGCUUCCCUGACCAUCGAAAAUUCCUCCGCCGGACAUUUUGAAAUUUUCAAUACUAUAGAAUCUAACUCCAAUUAGGGUCCUUGAAAGCACCAGGAUCAGCCGGAGCCUUUAUAGUGCCCUGAACAUUAAUCUCAAUAGGAGCCUUGCAUGGACCUUCUAAGUUUACUACUUUUGAUAAUAAAUAUGUCCCUUUAGGAAUCACAACUGUUGAUGGGGUUAAAGAGGCACAUGCUUCUUUCCAAGCAUCCAAAAAUGGCUAAAAUGAAAUGAUAAAGACAUCAGUUUGAAAUAUAAUUUCUUUCAUAUUUUCAACCUUUGGGUACAAAGUUAAGAGCAAUUCAACUUGCCUUACUCAAAUCCGUGUUUCCCGUCGCUUUUUGCGCCAAACUUGGCAACAACAUCAAUAGCGCCUGAUUGAACUUUAGAGGCUGAAUGAAUAAUAAUAAAAGCACAAACAUGGAAGGAACAAUAUUAAGGUGUGGUGCCAUGUUUUUAUUUGGUUUUGAAA
rnacentral:lncRNA from 1 species